GUAUGUGUAUAUAUACACACACACACACACAUAUAUAUAUAUACACAUAUAUGUAUGUGUGUGUGUGUGUGUGUGUGUAUAUAUAUAUAUAU